rnacentral:lncRNA from 1 species
UGGCUGAUGCAACAAGAAUGCUUUUAAAGCUAAAGAAGCCCUUGGAACAAGUAGAUAGGGACACCACGCAGGUUCUAAUAAAUCUUGUUCAUCCAUUCUAAUACACGAUGGUUUCAUGGACAUCUCCAGAACUCUAAUGCACCCAUCAUCCGAUGCCAGGAUCACUUUGUCUGAAGUGCACCAGUCUACAUCCAGGAUUCGGUAAUUCACAUUUCUUCCACUUCUUAAACUGCUCACCAUCUGUACCUCCUUCGAAUCCCAAACUUCUGCUCCAUCAUUGUACAUAGCAAUAAGUUUUUGAUUUCCUUUUC